UUUAUUUCUUACCUAUUUUUGAAUGCAGCCUUCGGAAAGUGACAUAGCAAUGGCUGACGUGACCUAAAUCAUUGUUUGUUUAUAAUUUUUUGGAAAAUUUCUGUUUGGUUUUAUCCCCUGAACGCACGAUGAGUUCACGCAUCUUGCCACCAGAGCAAACGUCAUCAGACCAAAUAAGAACAACAACGUCUGAAAUAAACAAGUAUUCAAAAGAAUCUCGCAAAGAAGUAUUUUUUCGGAUAUUGGCUGUAAUAACAAUAAUAUUGUUUCCUAUUUCGCUAUUAAUAUGUUUUAGGGUGGUAAAACAAUAUAAAAGAGCUGUUAUAAUGCGAUUUGGAAGGAUUCGAAAAGACUCACCAGCCGGCCCUGGCAUAAUAUGGGUGAUCCCUUGCACCGAUGACAUCCAAAUGAUGGAUUUAAGAACUCAAUCUUUUAAUCUCCCGCCACAAGAAAUUCUAACAAAAGACUCUGUCACCGUAACAGUUGAUGCCGUCGUUUAUUUUCACAUACGAAAACCUCUUCACUGUAUAUUGAACAUCCAAAAUAAUCAGUAUGCAACAGAAUUAAUCACCGUUGCUACAUUAAGGAAUAUACUCGGUCAACACUCUCUAUAUAACCUUCUCACACGUCGAGAGAGUAUCAGUUACAAAUGCAGAACGGAGAUUGACAAAACCACCUCCAAAUGGGGAGUUGUCAUUGAAAGAGUUGAAAUAAAAGACGUAUUUUUACCUUUUGAACUCCAAAAGGCAAUGGCAGCUGAGGCUGAGGGUACUCGUAUAGCUAAAGCUAAAGUAAUAGAAUCAGAAGGUGAAAUAAAAGCAGCUGAAAAUUUAAAGGAAGCUUCUCAAAUGAUGAUGGAGAAUCCACAUAUAAUGCUGCUCCGUUAUUUACAAACAUUAAGCUCACUUGCUUCAAAUAACUCAGCAACAAUAUUUUUUCCUUUCCCAAUGGACCUUCCUGUCGCACGUGCGGAUUUAAUCUACAGAAAAACUGAUCCGAUCUUGAAAAAUAUUUUAUAAACAGAACUAUUAAGAAGUGACCUAAGCUAUACGGUACCUGUUUUAUUUUAAAUAAACAAAAAUUCUGUCAAAAUUGUAAUAUAAAAUUAUCAAAUCGUAGCAAAGCGGUGAGACCGAAGACACAGUAACAAAACUUAAACAAACUUUCAUUCAAUCAAUCCUUUUUACGAAGUAACGAAGAACAACGGUUACGUAGGUAACCGAUGUCAGGAUGACAUUCUCUAUUUUUCUGGCGGAAAGCUGAG